rfam:Schistosoma rodhaini strain Burundi genome assembly, scaffold: SROB_scaffold0002450
AUCCAGUCGCCGAAUCCCAGAUAGGACGAAACGUGCGUCCUGGAU